rnacentral:rRNA from 1 species
AGCAUAGAGUAGCAAUACUUUGAUGGCGACCGGCGCACGGGUGAGUAACACGUAUGCAACCUACCUACAUCAGGGGAAUAACCCGGAGAAAUUCGGACUAAUACCGCAUAAUACAGGGAUGCCGCAUGGCAAUAUUUGUUAAAGAUUUAUCGGAUGUAGAUGGGCAUGCGUUCCAUUAGCUGGUUGGUGAGGUAACGGCUCACCAAGGCAACGAUGGAUAGGGGAACUGAGAGGUUUGUCCCCCACACUGGAACUGAGACACGGACCAGACUCCUACGGGAGGCAGCAGUGAGGAAUAUUGGUCAAUGGACGAGAGUCUGAACCAGCCAAAUCGCGUGAAGGAAGACUGCCCUACGGGUUGUAAACUUCUUUUGUACAGGAAUAAAAGACAUUACGUGUAAUGUAUUGCAUGUACUGUACGAAUAAGCAUCGGCUAACUCCGUGCCAGCAGCCGCGGUAAUACGGAGGAUGCGAGCGUUAUCCGGAUUUAUUGGGUUUAAAGGGUGCGCAGGCGGGAUUUUAAGUCAGCGGUGAAAUUUUCAGGCUCAACCUGAACACUGCCGUUGAAACUGGGAUUCUUGAGUAUGGAUGAAGUAGGCGGAAUUCGUUGUGUAGCGGUGACAUGCUUAGAUAUAACGAGGAACUCCGAUUGCGUAGGCAGCUUACUAAGCCAUAACUGACGCUCAAGCACGAAAGCGUGGGGAUCAAACAGGAUUAGAUACCCUGGUAGUCCACGCCGUAAACGAUGAUUACUAGUUGUUUGCGAUAUACCGUAAGUGACUAAGCGAAAGCGAUAAGUA